GAGCUGGGGACCGAACCCAGGGCCUUGCGCUUCCUAGGCAAGCGCUCUACCACUGAGCUAAAUCCCCAGCUCCAAGAAUGGCGUUUCUUUCUGCCCUCCGCCCCUCGGUCGCUGGAGCUAAUACUCAGAGAUUACUUCGGAUUUAUGAGCAACAUCGACAUUAUGACGUAGAGAGAGGCAGUGUGCUCUUGAUCCCAAUGGAUGACAUGAUGCCCACACCCCCCUGCAGCUGACACAAAGCGAAGACUACCAGGCUUCAGUGCUUUUCCAGAAGACUAAAAUGUACUGAUUUCACUCGGGACUGAGAAUCCUACCACGGUUCAAACAGGAGGGAGAGGAUGUACAGAGAGUGUGUGAUUAGCUAAGUGGCCGUGAGCGGUGGAAAACCAGCUUGAAGAGGGGAAACCUCCAGAAGUUAAACCACAGCAGCACAUGGUUCCUGAUUCUGGCCCCAAUAUGGAACUAUACAGUGACUCCACAGAAGCUUAUACUUUUAAAAAUGUUGGUGACCUUGUAGUGAAAAAUAUUAAAAGUCCCAGCCCAGGACAUCUACCCC
ensembl:lncRNA LOC120098903 uncharacterized LOC120098903